AAUUCGAAUAAUUAGGAACUAUUUCGCGGCGGUGUUUCGCAUUUGAAGACCACGUGAGAAUUAAGAGUACCGGUACCGGUCUGUUCCGCGUUGUGUCAUGCAAUUCCGGGUUUCAUCCGCCAGCAAGAAUACCGAAUCGUUUAAUGCUUUCGCGGUCGGCAGACACAAACGCGUAUUCGCCCCCACCAACAAAUUCCUUUCCUCUUCUCUCUCUGCCGUGCUCGACGAAAGAGGCUCUCGGUGACGAGAACGCUGGUUGCGAGCCGUUAGUUAGUCGGCCACCAGAACCGAUACCGUUCUCCAGGAAAGCACAUCGUUGUCGAAAGAGAUAAUCAGCAAGAUGGCAGCUAGUCAGUAUUAUCACAUACAGUGCACACCCACCGUGUAUCCGGCUGAUCCUUUCGAUGCCGAAGCAGAUGCCAGUCUAUUACGAUCUGCAAUGAAGGGUUUCGGGACUGAUGAGCAGGCCAUAUUGGACGUCUUGGCUCAUCGCGGUAUCGUACAGCGACUAGAAAUUGCCGACAAAUUUAAGACAAUGUACGGCAAGGAUCUCAUUUCCGAGUUGAAGUCAGAGUUGUCCGGAAACUUUGAGAAAGCCAUCUUGGCUCUAAUGACGCCUCUUCCCGAGUAUUACGCCAAGGAGUUGCAUGAUGCUAUUUCCGGCAUGGGCACCGACGAGGGUGCACUCAUCGAAGUCCUUGCAUCCCUGAGCAACUACGGUAUCAAGACUAUAUCGGCUGUUUACAAGGACCUGUACGACAAAGAGCUGGAAGACGAUCUCAAAAGCGAUACCUCCGGUUAUUUCAAGAGGCUUUUAGUAUCGUUGUCUUGCGCCAGUAGAGACGAGAGUCCAGACGUCGACGAGGAGGCCGCACGUCAGGAUGCCGAGAGGCUUCAAGCCGCGGGUGAGGGACAAUGGGGCACCGACGAAAGCACUUUCAACGCAAUUCUCAUUACUAAGAGUUUUCCACAAUUGCGACGGAUCUUUAAAGAAUACGAGCACCUCACCGGAGACACCUUGAAGCAUGCUAUCAAGCGAGAAUUCUCUGGUUCUGUCGAAGAUGGCUACUUAGCUGUGGUGAAAUGCGCCUCCGAUAAAACUGCUUAUUUCGCGGAAAGAUUGUACAAAGCUAUGCGCGGAAUGGGCACGAACGAUUCGACAUUGAUACGCAUCAUUGUGACACGAUCAGAGAUUGAUCUGGGCGACAUUAAGGAUGCCUAUGAGAGACUUUACGGAAAAUCUCUUGCGGAAGCUAUCGACGACGACUGUUCAGGCGACUACAAGAGACUUUUGCUUGCCCUUGUCGGAUGAAAAUAUUUCAAUCUUGCAACAGACCCUUUGUUGAAAAUUAUACUUCAAUGUCGCGGAGAUUAUAUAGCGCUUCAUUGUAUUCUGCAAAGAUUUUGAUUAAUUUAAUUUCUUACGUUUUGUUGGCUGUUAAUGAACGAUUGCACCGCCGAGUGGAAAAGAUUAUUGAUAGCAAUGUUGAAUUAAAGAGUAUAUCUAUAAUAUCAUGC